rnacentral:rRNA from 1 species
GAUGAACGCUGGCGGCGUGCCUAAUACAUGCAAGUCGAGCGGUAAGGCCCCUUCGGGGGUACACGAGCGGCGGACGGCUGAGUAACGCGUAGGAACAUACCCCAAAGUGAGGGAUAACUGCUCGAAAGAGUAGCUAAUACCGCAUGUGAUCUAAGGAUUAAAGCUUCGGCGCUUUGGGAAUGGCCUGCGUAUGAUUAGUUUGUUGGUGAGGUAAUGGCUCACCAAGACUACGAUCAUUAGCUGGUCUGAGAGGAUGAUCAGCCAGACUGGGACUGAGACACGGCCCAGACUCCUACGGGAGGCAGCAGUAGGGAAUUUUCCACAAUGGGCGAAAGCCUGAUGGAGCAACGCCGCGUGCAGGAUGAAGGCUCUUGGGUCGUAAACUGCUUUUAUAGGUGAAGAUUAUGACGGUAACCUAUGAAUAAGGAUCGGCUAACUCCGUGCCAGCCGCCGCGGUAAUU